rnacentral:rRNA from 1 species
CUAAGAAUAUUCCGCAAUGGACGAAAGUCUGACGGAGCGACGCCGCGUGGAUGAAGAAGGCCGCAAGGUUGUAAAAUCCUUUUGUUGGGGAAGAAUAACCAUGGGAGGGAAUGCCCGUGGGAUGACAUGAACCGACGAAUAAGUCCCGGCUAACUACGUGCCAGCAGCCGCGGUAACACGUAGGGGACAAGCGUUAUUCGGAAUUACUGGGCGUAAAGGGCAUGUAGGCGGCUUUGUAAGCCUGGCGUGAAAGUCACCGGCUCAACCGGUGGAUUGCGUCGGGAACUGCAGGGCUUGAGUCAUGGAGAGGAAGGUAGAAUUCCUGGUGUAGGGGUGAAAUCUGUAGAGAUCAGGAAGAAUACCAGUGGCGAAGGCGACCUUCUGGCCAAGGACUGACGCUGAAGCGCGAAAGCGUGGGGAGCGAACA